rnacentral:rRNA from 2 species
GGAUGCGAUCAUACCAGCACUAAAGCACCGGAUCCCAUCAGAACUCCAAAGUUAAGCGUGCUUGGGAAAGAGUAGUACUAGGAUGGGUGACCUCCUGGGAAGUCCUUUUGUUGCAUUCC